AGAUAAAGUGACGCGCGGGUGACCUGGGAGCUUGGAGGCUUGAGCUCUGGAGGCUCCGUCCUUCAAUAGCACUUACCUACCCAACAACCGGGCUGGGGGAGCAGUAGUGUCUCCAUGGCAUAAAUGAAGAAACUGUGACUCAGAGAGGCUGAGUAAACUGCUUGAUGCCGUACAACUGCAUACAGUGAUGAAUGUGAGAUUCAGACUUGGAUUUGUCUGGCUCCAAAAUCUCUGUUCCUUCCAUGACAAUAAAACAAAGGAGAAGAAGAGCGAGAGAUACAUUACUGGCAUCAUCACUGAACUCCUCUGAACUCCAUUCUCAUAGGGAAGUGAUAACGUGAUGGUACGUCUAGAUGGCCAGGUGAAAACCGAGCACUGCUGAGCGAGCCCCAAGGAAAAGUGCAGCCUCCACACGAAGUUUUAUUAUUGGUUUCUGAGGAAGUGUAACCUGGAACAAGACUAUGAGGGAGAAGCCCUGCUGUCUUCCAGAUAUCCACCGAAGGGAAUUUGCUAGAUGUGCGGGCCAGUUCACAUCACUAGGAAUGCCUCGGAAGUCACUUUUUUCCCCUUUUUACAAAAAUGUUCAGCCAAGGGACUUUCAGUGAUUCCUCCUAACUGCUGGGUCCCCUUGAGCAGCCUCUGGGCUGAAUUGAGGUUGGUCACAAACUUUCCCCGUGCUCAUACCUUUCUCAAGAUAAAAAGCUCAUACCCAAAAUAGUGGCAGAUAGUACAAAUAUUACUACAGUUUUUCAUGGGGAGAUGAGGAGACUGUCAAAUUACACGCAAAGCUUAAGAAACCUCCCUUUAGAUUUCUUCUCUCUCCCCAGUCUCAUCUCUCCUCCCCCACCUUCCAGUUUUCCAUGUACUGUUUCUUUUCUUUUCAUUUCCCCACUUUUAUAAAGCCUCUAGAAUCUCAUUUGUUUAUAGUCCACGCCCUUGCAGCAAAACAAAAUUGUUGUUCAUCUAUGCUCCUGGCACCACUGAGGUCUCCGAGUUAUACACAAGGAGGGCUGGAUCCAUUCCCUUUAUAAACCCUCCAGCAAGAAGUCUCCAGCAAGAAGGAUGGUUCAUUCCUCACUCAGGGCAUGUUUUCCCCAGAAUCCUGCUUCAUGGCUGCUUGGCCCUCCACGAUGCACUCAUGUUGCCUCUAUCCAUCUUAGGGUAGCUAAUGUCUUUUAAACAAUGUUGAAACAGAAUAAGGCAAAUACUGCAGGGGUGUAUCCCAGGGAAAGGAAGUGUUCCCCAGAGCACAUUGAGUCUGCAUUCCAUUUCCUUCAGAGUGGUGUCAGCAAACGAUACUGAGUGUGAAAAAGACAUUUUGGACCAUGUUUACAGGGCCCUUGGAUGCACUUCUCGUUUUAGAGGUAUGAGCUUAAGUGUUGUUAAAAUCUUACAAUUAGCACAUGGAGGCCGUGGUGCUUCAGGCCUGCCCUAGUAUAGGUCUGUAAGGAAAUGACCCAGCUCUGAAUCUUCUCUCCUUGAAAACUGUGUGAUGUGCUUUCAACACUUUAGCCCCCCAAGCCUCAGACACUCACUAUUAACAGAAAGAUCUUAUGCUUCUCAUGAAGUGCUUUAAGGUUUGCACUUUGAUUAUAAGUGCUACCUUUCUUGACCACUUCGGUUAUUUUUGAUCCUCUUAACCCUGUAGGGUGGAUAGUAUGUAAUAUGGAAAGGGAAUAUGGUCUAGUGGUUAAGGGAAAAGGGUAAUUAGUCCUUAUUCUGUUACUAGCCAGCUCUGUGCCUUUCGGUAAUUAUAAACUUCUCUAGAUCUUAGUUGCUCAUCUGGUAAAUGGGUAUAAUAACAACACUUACCUUAUAGCAUGUUAGUGAAAUACAAAUGAGAUAACGUAUAUAAACUGUCUGGUAUGUAGUUUAAUAAAUAUUAGUUAUCAUCCUCCCCAUCAUCCAAGAUUAUAGAGUUUGAAAGUGGGGUGGCUGGGAUUCAAACCCAGACUUAACCUUCCAAGCUUCUGAAUGAUCAUGUUUUAUAACAAAGAUAACAGGUAACCAGAGUUAACAUUCUGUAUUGAGCUCUAAAAGUACUUGCUAGAGGGACUUCCCUGUCGGUCCAGUGGUUAAAGACUUUGCCUUCCAAUGCAGGGGGUGCAGGUUCCAUCGCUGGUUGGGGAGAUAAGAUCCCACAUGCCGUGUGGCCAAGAAACAAAACAUAAAACAGAAGCAAUAUUGUAACAAGUUCAAUAAAGAUUUUAAAAAUGGUCCACAUCAAAAAAAAAUCUUAAAAAAAUACUUGCUAGGAACUAUUCUAGGCACUAUACAUAUUAACCCCUUUUAUAGUCAUGCCAACCCUAUGGGAUUGGUACAGUUAUUACCAUUAUCCACAUUUGAAGAUGGAGAAACUGAGAGGUUAAGUGACUUGCUCAAGAUUCCUGGUGACAGUAGUGAGCCUGCCAUCUGACCCAAGAGUGCAGGCUCUUAACCACUUUGCAGUGCUCUCAAUUACUGUGUGUAUAUGACCUGACACUAUUUUUCAGAAGUCUUUCCUAAGUAUUUAUGGCCUCAAUCAGUGUAUUGAGGGUUCCAGUGCCUGAGCCAAGUAAGCACACCUGCAAAGGUGGCUGGGAGGGUGCGCCAGAGUUCUAUUAGCAAACAGAACUAAUUUAUCCUCCUAUUGAAAGAAGGAAUGCUGGGAAAUUCAUGGAACAUAAGUUCAGUCCAG